rnacentral:rRNA from 1 species
CUUCAUGUAUACUCCAUCUCGUAUGGUAUUAAAGUCUUUAUGCGCUUUGGGAGGGCCUGCGUAACAUUAGCUUGUUGGUGAGGUAAAAGCUCACCAAGGCUUCGAUGUUUAACUGGUUUGAGAGGAUGACCAGUCACACUGGGACUGAGAUACGGCCCAGACUCCUACGGGAGGCAGCAGUAAGGAAUCUUCCACAAUGGGGCAACCCUGAUGGAGCAAUACCGCGUGCAGGAUGAAGCGUUUCGGCGUGUAAACUGCUUUUAUCACCGAAGAUUAUGACUGUAGGUGAAGAAUAAGGACCGGCUAACUACGUG